rnacentral:rRNA from 1 species
UAGGUCGACCGCUGAACUUAAGCAUAUCAGUAAGCGGAGGAAAAGAAAAUAACUAUGAUUUCCUUAGUAGCGGCGAGCGAAGAGGAAUUAGCCCAACACUGAAGCUUGCACCAUUGGUGUUAAGCAAUGUGGUGUAAGUCCCUUUCAUACGGCUAGUUUGUAUCGUUUCAAGUUCACUUGAUUGUGGCAUCAGGCCCAAAGAGGGUGAGAGGCCCGUAGAAUCGGUACGACUAGUCUUGAGAGGAGACGCGAGUAGGGUUGCUUGGGAUUGCAGCUCAAAUAAGGGUGGUAAACUCCAUCCAAGGCUAAAUACAACACGAGUCCGAUAGCGAACAAGUACCAUGAGGGAAAGUUGAAAAGAACUUUGAAGAGAGAGUUCAAUAGUGCGUGAAACCGCUCAAAGGGAACCAGGUAGAGCUGAAGGAGGCUUGGCAUAUUUGUACUCUGUAGAGGCGUGCUGUUAGUUUUGCGACUUCAUGAGCAGGCUAGCAGUGUCUAUGUUUCUGCAUUGUGCUAUUGUGCUUUGCCGACACCACGAUCAGUAGUUAGGCUGGUCUAGCAUGGUUUGGAAGGUAGCUUAUGCUUGCAUAAGUGUUAUAGACUUACUAUCUAGCACUGGCUGAGUACUGUAGUUUUGGUGCGUAGUUCAUGAUUAUGUGAGGUUCGAGGCUGUUCUUUCAACUCAUAAUGAGAUGGCUGAAUUGUCCAAGGGCUUUGCAUGAUUCUCUGUGCUGCGUGUUAAAUCUGUGGUGGAACGGUAGGUAUUCUACCUGACCCGUCUUGAAACACGGACCAAGGAGUUUAGCAUAUACGCGAGUCAUGGGGUCGUACGAAACCUAAAGGCGCAGUGAAAGUAAAGGCUGUCUUUUGUCAGCUGAGGUAGGAUCCUGGUUUUCAAUGGGCAUUUAUGCACAUGGACUGGGCGCACUACCAGCUCGUCCCAUGCUUUAUUAAGCGGGGCGAAGCCAGAGCGUAUAUGCUGAGACCCGAAAGAUGGUGAACUAUGCUUGUGUAGGUUGAAGCCAGAGGAAACUCUGGUGGAGGACCGUAGCGAUUCUGACGUGCAAAUCGAUCGUCAAACAUGAGUAUAGGGGCGAAAGACUAAUCGAACCAUCUAGUAGCUGGUUCCCUCCGAAGUUUCCCUCAGGAUAGCUGGCACUCGAGAAUCAAACAGUUUUAUCCGGUAAAGCGAAUGAUUAGCAGUAUUGGGGAUGAAAUAUCCUCAACUGAUUCUCAAACUUUAAAUGGGUGAGAUGCUUAUGUCCCUUAAAGACAUCUGGACAUAGGCGUUGAAUGUGAGUGCCUAGUGGGCCAUUUUUGGUAAGCAGAACUGGCGAUGUGGGAUGAACCAAACGUCUGGUUAAGGAGCCAAACAUAACGCUCAUGAGAUACCACAAAAGGUGUUGGUUGAUUUUGACAGCAGGACGGUGGCCAUGGAAGUCGGAAUCCGCUAAGGAGUGUGUAACAACUCACCUGCCGAAUCAACCAGCCCUGAAAAUGGAUGGCGCUGUAGCGUUGGUCCUAUACCAGACCGUUACCGCGAGACAUGUAUGUGGUAACGAGUAGGAGGGCGCAGUGCUAAGCAUCGAAGCGUAGGCCGUGAGGUUGCGUGGAGCUGGCACUGGUGCAGAUCUUGGUGGUAGUAGCAAAUAUACAAGUGAGAACCUUGUAGACUGAAGUGAGAAGGGUUC